ACCUUUCAUUUUCUCAGCUUGUUCAUUCAGGCGGAUUUCAAGAUCUUGCUUCUGUUUCUCCAAUUCUGAAAUUUGCUGUUUAAAGUCUGGGAUCAUCUUUAGAGAAGAAUUAGAAAUAUUAGAAUAUAAAAUACUUUUAUCUAUGAACUUUAAAAUCUUAGAAGCAAACUGAACUAUCUUGGUGUUCAGCCUGCAGAACAGAUAGCUGUGUAAAAGAGCUAGCCACGACAUUAGACUGGAUUAACAUUUUUUUUUAACCUCAAAACCUAUAUAGUCUCAGGAAACACCAGUAUGCUCAGAGGAAGCAGUUCUCACACAGCUACGACAGGGAGAGAAGGAUGUGUACAUGUAUAGAAAUCCUAUGCUGAGUUGAGGGAGGAAUUAGGUGAAGAAAUGGCAGCCAGCGUCUUUGGUCCAAGCCCAGAGCCAUCGUCUCCUCAUCUAGGAACAGGAAAAGCCAUCUCAAAGGGUCCCACUGCUACUUUUGAAUUCAAGGACAUGCACUGCUCUGUUAGUGGAGGUCUGGAAUCACCCGGUAAGUUUCUCAAUCCUUUGUCCCUAUCUGUAUAUUUCUUUACAUGUCCAUCGCCUCCACCCCCAGUUAGGUUAAAACAGGGUUUUUUUUCCUUCCCCAAGUUUAUAAACAUGCUCAUUUUAAAACUGAGUGGCUGAGAUCCAGGCCUCUGAAGUCUAAAUGAAGAAUACAGACAGCCCCUGAUUUACGAUGGCUCAACUUACUAUUUUUCGAGUUUGUGAUGGUGUGAAAGUGAUAUGCAUUUAGUAGAAACCAUACUUCAAGUACCCAUUCAACCAUUCUGUGUUUCACUUUCAGUAUAGUAUUUGAUAAGUUACAUGAGACAUUCAACACUUUAUUAUAAAAAUAGGCUUUGUGUUAGAUGAUUUUGCCCAAGUACAGGCUAAUGUAAGCAUUCUGAGCACGUUUAAGGCAGGCUGGGCUAAGCUACGAUGCUUGGUAGGUCAGGUGUAUUAUAUGCAUUUUCAACUUACAAUACAAUACUUCCAGCAUACGAUGGGUUUAUUGGGACGUAGCCCCAUGGUAAGCUGAGGAGCAUCUGUACUUGUUUGAAUGUGCAAUUGGGUCUCACUGCAAAUUCCUCAUUAAAGUUUCAUCCAAGGAAUAAACAAAGAUGUAAAGGUCCCCCACUACCGUUCCCUGUGUCCACCCCUGGUCCUCAACUGCUGCUACAGCCCCGAGAUUUCCUAACACUCUCAGUUUAGGGAGAGGAGGGGGUAGUAAGGAAGUAGGGGAGCAGCAGCCAGUGAGGCGGGACAAGAAUGCUGGGAGAGCGGGGCGUCCUGGAAGCCAAGAGAACAAGGCAGAGAGGGCAAGAUUAGCAUCGCCAGAGGCUGCUGAGACACUGAGUAAGAUGAGGGUGCAAAGGAACCCUUAGUGCUCAGCUCUGUGCAGGCAGAGUCAGCCAGUGGUGGGGACACACGACAGAAUGGGGUGGUGGGCAGUGAAUGGGAGGUGUGCGGAGGAAGUAUGCCUAGAGGGUCUUUGUAAGUCUGACUAAGACCCCAAAGAAAUGGGUGAUGGCCACAGCAGUGUGGGGUUAAGACAGAGAUGGCUUUUUGAAUGAGGAGAUUCCUAAAGCAUUUCUCCAGGCCAGUAGGCAUGAGUUGGAAGAAAGAAUGAGACAAAUGCAGUGGCUAGGAAUGCACGUCAUGGAAGAGGAAGCCCUUGAAAAGGUGAGAUUUGAAGGCCGGGCACGGUGGCUUAUGCCACUUUGGGAGGCUGAGGCAGGCGGAUCACGAGGUCAGGAGUUCGAGACUAGCCUUGCCCACAUAGUGAAACCCUGUCUCUACUAAAAAUGCAAAAUUAGCUGACCGUGAUGGUGGGCGCCUGUAAUCCCAGCUACUCGGGAGGCUGAGGCAGGAGAAUUGCUUGAACCUGGGAGGCGGAGGUUGCAGUGAGCUGAGAUCAUGCCAUUGCACUCCAGCCUGGGCAACAGAGUGAGACUUCAUCUCAAAAAAAAAAAAAAAAAAGGUGAGAUUUCAGGCAUGAGCAGGACUGGCCUUCUGACACACUCCUGUCUCAAGAGCUACCCUUCAAUUUUGUGGUCACUUUCCAAGGGGUUAGGGCUUGAUUUAAAUAUACAGGCUUUAAAACAUACACACUUACGCGCACACACAGACAAUCACAGCGCCUGCAGCCAUCCUGUGGUGAACACACACACUCUUGUAUCAGAGUGCUCUCUGGUCUGCAGUCAUUUUAUAGUUUAAUCACCAGACCAAGUUAUUUCACUUCUGGAAAAAGUAAUUUAUAUCCACUCUUUUACUGCCAAGAAACUGAAUUUGACGCCACUGACAAAGAACAACUCUAGUAUGAUGGCCACGACUGGGGCCCCUGGCUGAGACCAUACCAUGUUCUCUGAUGUUAGCCUGGUAACUUCAUGACGGAUGCUUUCAUUGAUGUCAUUUUCUUCUCUGAAUAACUUCUGCAGGUGGUUGAUUUCUUGACUGAGAUGCACCACUUUGAAGUUCAAAGCUUCAAUCUCCUUUUCAUAGCAAUCCUUCUGAGACUGGAAAUGGCUCUCCAAAACACUAUUAAAGGAGGGGUCAAGAAAUAAACCACAUGGCCUUUGUUCUGUUUUAUGGACUGCUGGGAGGCAGUUAUGAAGACCCACAACAAGAGCCGUGCACGAAGUACAUCAAGUUUACUUAUGCACUCACGGUUACAGGCUACAGAAUCAGGAAUGCCUAAUUAUAAAAUCUUCUAGCUAGUUAGGAAGCAUUAUGUGGGGGUUAAUAUGUAGUUAACAAUGAAGAAAAUUUUAGAAGUUAUUAUAUUUUUACACUCUUAAUAGUUUAAAAAAUACUGGCCAGACGCAGUGGCUCACACCUGUAAUCCCAGGAUUUUGGGAGGCCGAGGUGGGCGGAUCACUUGAGGUCAGGAGUUUGAGACCAGCCUAGACAACAUGGUGAAAUCCCGUCUCUACUAAAAAUACAAAAAUUAGCCAGGUGUGGUAGCGCAUGCCUGUAGUUCCAGCUACUUGGGAGGCUGAGGCACGCAAAUCGCUUGAAACCUGGAGGUGGAGGUUGCGGUGAGCCAAGAUCUUGCCACUGCACUCCAGCCUGGGUAACAGAGCGAGACUCCAUCUCAGAAACAAAACAAAACAAAACAUGUUCUGUAUGAUACUACAGUUGUGGAUACGAGUCAUUAUACAUUUGUCAAAACCUACAGAAUGUACACCAAGAGUGAACUCUAAUGUAAACUAUAGACUUGAGGUGACAGUGGCGUGUCAGUGUUGGUUCACCAGUCAUAGUAAACACAUCACUGUGGUUUGGGAAGUUGACAGUGGGGGAGGUUGUGUGUGUGUGGUGGCAGGGAUAUAUGGGAACUCUCUGUAUUUCUGCUCAACUUUGAUGUGAACCUAAAACUGCUGUGAAAAAUAAAGUUUAUUAAUUUAAAUAAAUGCAGCACAUGCCUUAAAUUUAAAUGUAUCUACAUAUUUCUGGCAACAUUAACUAACUUAUUUGAUAAUCAGUUUUCACUGUAUGGGUUAUGGGGUUUUUUACUAGGCAUUUUAUCCCACAAAGAGAUUGCUCUUCAUGAAUAAGCUACUUACUUACUUCUCAGAGAAAUAUUUCUAGUGGUUAUUCAGUCAUUCUACUAUAAGGAAUUUGUGUAUCAAUCUAUGUAAGGUAAACUUUGGACUUUCCAAUAGUCUAUUUAUUAUCUCUGAAAAAUAAAGAAGAUCCCUGAGGAGAAUUUCUAACCGUGUUGCUUUCUUUAGUCCUUCAUAAGCAAACCAAAGUUCUCCAUCCUCAUUUAAAUGUUCCAGAUCUUCCACAGAGAGCCUGCAAAAUAAGGAAGAUAAGAAAAUCUAUCAUCUCUGUCACGUUUUACAUGUUUACAUGUCUUAAAAUGUUUGAUAAUGCAAAAAUGAUUACCUGCUUCUUACAUCUUCAAUGUCAUAGCUUUCGAGAAGUUGUUUGGUGAUCUCUGACAUCUUUUCUGAAAGGGAAAGGCAGAGUUGUAUAUAUUACAUUUGUGGAUGAUUUAUCUUUUCCCAUUCCCUUUCCAGGGCCCAGUUUUCUAGCUUCACAGUCUCCAGCUAAAUAACUCACCAGCUAUCCAAUCAACCAACUAACCAAUCUUCCAGGUAUUCAACCAACUAGCUAUUCAACCUAUCAACUAAGCAAUCUACCAUAUGUCCAACCAAAUUCAUACCAAAGGACACGUUUCCUUAGCAGCGACACAGCUAUGAUAAAUUCAGUCUGCACCCAUGGACUAAGAGACUCAUAUUUUUAUUACCUCUCAUUUCCCGUUUUUGUGACUGCACAUGUUUCUCCACAUCUAUCUUCUGUGCCUGAAGUAGUUCUAUCUCUUUUUCGAACUCAGAGAUUGUCUGAAUCACAGCAAUGACGGAAUCAGGUAAAGAAAAAACAACGAUUAUGCUUUAUAUAAGACAAAGGGAACACAAUUACAGCGUUGCGUGUCUAUGCAAGACAUCCUCACUGCAGUUUCUUUCUUAGCUAAAAUCUUGUUAAACCAUCACUGCCUACACAGCUUGGCCUUGAAGCAUGCUUAACUACUCAAAAUGCCAGAUCUAAUGGGUUGUAUCAGUAGAAUUAACUUCCCUGGGCCAGGCAUGGUGGCUCACACCUGUAAUCCCAGCACUUUGGGAGGCUGAGGCAGGUGGAUCACCUGAGUUCAGGAGUUUGAGACCAGCCUGACCAACAUGGUAAAAUCCCAUCUCUACUAAAAAUACAAAAAUUAGCCAGGCAUGGUGGCAGACGCCUGUAAUCCUAGCUACUUGGGAGGCUGAGGCAGGAGAAUCGCUUGAACCCG
rnacentral:lncRNA from 1 species